rnacentral:tRNA from 1 species
UCCCUGGUGGCUCAGAUGGUAAAGAAUCUGCCUGCAAGGCAGGAGACCUGGGUUCGAUCCCUGGGUUGGGAA